UGUGUGAAUGACUUCAAUGAGGCUAUUCACGCGAGCGAGCAAAACUGGGCUAAGGAGGCCCAGCCUGGUUUUGCUCACCCGUGAGAACCACCUCCACGGCGGCAAGCCCACCUAAACAGCCACCCUCUUAAAUGAGGUUAACAGAGUGAGCACUCCGUGAACCUCAUUUUCUGGAUCGUGUGUCUGCCGCAGCAGCAAGGGGAGGGGGAUCCCGGAAAUGUGGGGGCAGGGCACUACACGGCGGCACUUCUCCUCACCCGACCCCGGAGCUGCUGGGCGAGGCAUGGGCAGACGGCAGGAGAGCCACCGCUCAUCUGGGCAGGCAAUCCACCUGCCCAGGGACCACGGGAGGAUCGUCUGUGGGGAGGUCCAGCAUCCUUGAGAAGCCCACCCACCUCCGCCUUGCAAAGCACAUCAAGCAUAGACAGUCAGGUUCAUAAGUUCAACAUGAACCUAGAUUUGGAAUGGAAGAGGAUCCAAAUUGCCACCCAUAGAAGGCUUAUGAAAAUCACCUGUGUUCAAUAUCUGGAUGAAGUGUAGCAAAUCAGCAGGAUUAUACUGCUAAGAGGAUUGAUUUAGGCUUGCUCUUCUAUCAUGCCCAAUGCCAUUGUUCAAAGCAAGCUUGAGGAUAUACUAUUUCUCCAGAUUCCAGAACCAUUCACCACUGACUCUUCCAAUCUGGCAACUGAGUCCUAAAUGCAUGUAGCUGAAAAUUCUUUUUCUUUUCUUUUUUUAAAUGCCACUACCUACUCUAUGUUCAGCCAAACAUCUGUGCAUGAGGGCCAAGGAGAUGAACAGCCCUGGUUGCUUUUCAAGGCUCAAGUGACAAGUCACUUUUUUCUCCACUUUUCCCCAAGAAAUAUGGCAAACCCAAACUUUUCUAUUAUACCAUAUCCCCUUACAAUGUUUCAGACAAAUCAGUAUAUAUUUUAUAGGAAAAAAUUAAUGUGUGAACUCUGCAGUACCUUAUCUCAGUGCUUCUCUGUCUAGUAGUUUCCCAUGCAUA